UACGGGGGGUGCGAGCGUUGUCCGGAAUCACUGGGCGUAAAGGGCGCGUAGGUGGCUUGGUAAGCGCGUGGUGAAAGCCCGGGGCUCAACCCCGGGUCUGCCAUGCGAACUACUAUGGCUUGAGCACUGUAGAGGCAGGUAGAAUUCCGGGUGUAGCGGUGGAAUGCGUAGAGAUCCGGAAGAACACCGGUGGCGAAGGCGGUCGACUGGGCCAGUACUGACGCUGAGGCGCGACAGCGUGGGGAGCAAACAGG
rnacentral:rRNA from 1 species